rnacentral:rRNA from 1 species
GACGAACGCUGGCGGCGUGCUUAACACAUGCAAGUCGAAGUGGCGGACGGGUGAGUAACGCGUGGCAAUCUGCCCCUCAGUGGGGGACACCCAGCCGAAAGGUUGGCUAAUACCGCAUACUGAGGGAUGAGCCUGCGUCCGAUUAGCUAGUUGGUAGGGUAAAGGCCUACCUAGGCGACGAUCCCUAGCUGGUCUGAGAGGAUGACCAGCCACACUGGAACUGAGACACGGUCCAGACUCCUACGGGAGGCAGCAGUGGGGAAUAUUGCACAAUGGGCGCAAGCCUGAUGCAGCCAUGCCGCGUGUGUGAAGAAGGCCUUCGGGUUGUAAAGCACUUUCAGCGAGGAGGCGUUACUCGCAGAAGAAGCACCGGCUAACUCCGUGCCAGCAGCCGCGGUAAUAC